UACGUAGGCAACAAGCGUUGUUCGGAGUUACUGGGCGUAAAGAGUGCGUAGGUGGUGCCCUAAGUCUGUUGUGAAAUCUCCCGGCUUAACUGGGAGGGUGCGGUGGAAACUGGGGUGCUUGAGUGUGGGAGAGGUAAGCGGAAUUCCUGGUGUAGCGGUGAAAUGCGUAGAUAUCAGGAGGAACACCGGUGGUGUAGACGGCUUACUGGACCACGACUGACACUGAGGCACGAAAGCGUGGGGAUCAAACAGG
rnacentral:rRNA from 1 species